rnacentral:rRNA from 1 species
CCUACGGGAGGCAGCAGUGAGGAAUAUUGGUCAAUGGACGAGAGUCUGAACCAGCCAAGUAGCGUGAAGGAUGACUGCCCUAUGGGUUGUAAACUUCUUUUAUAUGGGAAUAAAAUGUUCCACGUGUGGGAUUUUGUAUGUACCAUAUGAAUAAGGAUCGGCUAACUCCGUGCCAGCAGCCGCGGUAAUACGGAGGAUCCGAGCGUUAUCCGGAUUUAUUGGGUUUAAAGGGUGCGUAGGUGGUUUAUUAAGUCAGUGGUGAAAGUUUGUGGCUCAACCGUAAAAUUGCAGUUGAAACUGGCAGUCUUGAGUACAGUAGAGGUGGGCGGAAUUCGUGGUGUAGCGGUGAAAUGCUUAGAUAUCACGAAGAACUCCGAUUGCGAAGGCAGUUCACUGGACUGCAACUGACACUGAGGCUCGAAAGUGUGGGUAUCAAACAGGAUUAGAUACCCGAGUAGUC